UACUCAUCUGUUGCCAGCAUUUAAGUGGGGACUCAGAUGAGACUGCCGGUGACAAACCGGAGGAAGGUGGGGACGACGUCAAGUCAUCAUGGCCCUUAUGUCCUGGGCUACACACGUGCUACAAUGGCCGGUACAGAGUGAAGCGAAACCGCGAGGUGAAGCAAAACGCAGAAAGCCGGUCUCAGUACGGAUUGGAGCCUGAAACUCGACUUCAUGAAGUUGGAAUCGCUAGUAAUCGCGCAUCAGCAUGGCGCGGUGAAUACGUUCCCGGGCCUU
rnacentral:rRNA from 1 species